AAACACAAAUUUGCUACCCAAAGGUUUAACAUACGAAGGACAAGGCACUAUGUCCCAUGUCUGAUUUUCUUCCAAGCCCAGAAGUUCAUUUUCAAUAGUUGUUUGCCAACAAACAUGUUCCAUUGCCUGUUUAUAAGAAGAAGGAAUAGGAACACUAGAUAAUGUUGUUGUCAAGGAUAAGGGAUUAGAGAAACCAUACUUUUCUGGGGGCUUACGAAUGCGUGAGCUGCGUCGUAAAAGUUCAAGUUCUGGUUCU
rnacentral:lncRNA from 1 species